UGGGGAAUAUUGGACAAUGGGCGAAAGCCUGACCCAGCCAUGCCGCGUGUGUGAAGAAGGUCUUCGGAUUGUAAUGCACUUUAAGAUGGGAGGAAGGGCAGUAAGCGAAUACCUUGCUGUUUUGACGUUACCGACAGAAUAAGCACCGGCUAACUCUGUGCCAGCAGCCGCGGUAAUACAGAGGGUGCAAGCGUUAAUCGGAAUUACUGGGCGUAAAGCGCGCGUAGGUGGUUCAUUAAGUUGAAUGUGAAAGCCCCGGGCUCAACCUGGGAACUGCAUCCAAAACUGGCGAGCUAGAGUAGGGCAGAGGGUGGUGGAAUUUCCUGUGUAGCGGUGAAAUGCGUAGAUAUAGGAAGGAACACCAGUGGCGAAGGCGACCACCUGGGCUCAUACUGACACUGAGGUGCGAAGGCGUAGGGAGCAAACAGG
rnacentral:rRNA from 1 species